UUUGGAGCAUUAUUUAGCCUCUUCCAUGACAAGCUAGUAUGACCUGGUUGGUGCCAAUGGAUUCAUUAUGUUUUCUAGUUUCAUAUGAUGCCUGUAUCUUCACUCUGAAACGGAGCCCACUGCAACCUAGAAAUUGCAAGUUGUAUUAAUGCGUUAAAGAAAUUAGUGCCGUUGAAAAAAAAUUGCGUUAACGCAUAAUCGCAUUAACUUUGACAGCCCUACUAAAAAGCUAAAAGACAGCCGGUGGG